GACGAACGCUGGCGGCGGGCUUAACACAUGCAAGUCGAACGGAAAGGCCCUGCUUUUGUGGGGUGCUCGAGUGGCGAACGGGUGAGUAACACGUGAGUAACCUGCCCUUGACUUUGGGAUAACUUCAGGAAACUGGGGCUAAUACCGGAUAGGAGCUCCUGCUGCAUGGUGGGGGUUGGAAAGUUUCGGCGGUUGGGGAUGGACUCGCGGCUUAUCAGCUUGUUGGUGGGGUAGUGGCUUACCAAGGCUUUGACGGGUAGCCGGCCUGAGAGGGUGACCGGCCACAUUGGGACUGAGAUACGGCCCAGACUUAAACGGGAGGCAGCAGUGGGGAAUAUUGCACAAUGGGCGGAAGCCUGAUGCAGCAACGCCGCGUGCGGGAUGACGGCCUUCGGGUUGUAAACCGCUUUCGCCUGUGACGAAGCGUGAGUGACGGUAAUGGGUAAAGAGGCACCGGCUAACUACGUG
rnacentral:rRNA from 1 species